UUAGCCUGUGUCUCUACUUCAACGAACUUAACAAUCCCACCAUGGAAGUAUCAUGUCUUCUUGAGUUUCAGAGGAGAAGACACACGCAGAGACUUCACAGCUGAGUUACACAAUGCUCUGAAAGAAAGGUGUAUCAGAACUUUCAUAGAUUAUGAUAUAAGGAAAGGGAAAGAUAUCAGCCCAGAACUGAUUCAAGCAAUUGAAGAGUCUCUCUGUGCCAUUAUCAUAUUCUCUAAGGAUUACGCUGCUUCAACUUGGUGUUUGGAUGAGCUCUCAAAGAUUGUUGACUGUAAAAAGGCUUGGAGCUGAUUCGUUUUCCCAGUGUUCUAUAACGUAGAUCCAUCUGAUGUACGACAUCAAAGAGGAACUUUUGCUGCUGCGUUUCAACAACAUUGUGAGAUAUUUACUCAAGAACAGGUGCAAAAAUGGAGAAAUGACUUGAAAGAAGUGGCAAAUAUAAGUGGCUAUCAUUGGAUUGAUGGGAAUAAAGAGAACAACAUUAGAAAAAUCGUUACAGGAGUAUGGUCAAAUACCAUUUGUACUUCGAAAGUUGAAACAUGAAGAAGUUAUCAAGGGGGUGGGACAUCCUCAAGCGAUAAAUUUUCUGUUUGACCUUGACCUCUCUGGUAAGAGUUUGCCAUUCAUGGAUUUCAGCUAUGCUGGUUUUAAAGAUGUUAGAAUGGUGCAAACAAACCUAGAUUGCACAAAAUUUUUGUUUAUUUGUCAGGAUGUUAAUGUUGAAGAAUGCAUUUUCGACUGUUCAAAUUUCCCUCGAUGUCAAUUUAAUCGAGCCACUUUUCGUAGAGUUUCACUGAAUAAUGCUGCUCUUCAGAACUCAAAACUAGAAGAUGCUUGCUUGAUAAAAUGUUCCUUAGUUGGAGCAGUCCUGACUUCUGCAAUUCUUAAGAAUGCAGUUCUUUGUGAUGUCAAUUUAGAAGGAGCCAUCCUCAAAGGAGCUAAUUUAGAGGGUGCAAAGUUGUACAAUCCUAACUUGAAGGCUGCAAAUCUUGAAGGAGCCAAUCUUCCAUAUGUUAACCUUUCAGAUAUGGAUUUACGUGAUGUGAAUUUCAACUUUGCAUGUCUUGAACAUGUCUCAUUUUUACGUGCAAACCUUUUAUGUGGAAAGUUCCGGCAUGUUAAUGCCAAGGGCUCCAUCUUUGACUUUGCAAAUUUGCGUCGAUGUGAAUUUAACAAGGCAAAUCUACAUGGAGCUUCAUUAAAAUUUGCCAUCCUUGAGCAUGCAAAUCUAAAUGAUGCUUGUUUGAAAGAUUGUACUUUGAUCGGAGCCGACCUAAGUUUUGCACUUUUACAGGUUAAACAUGGCAUGAGUUAUGAAAUGCAGAUCUUACAAAUGCCAAUCUAGAGGAAGCUGACCCACGAGGAGCUAAUUUAGAGGGUGCAAAGUUGGACAAUGCCAAUAUGAAGGAUGCAAAGUUAAACUAAUGAGCUUUCCUUUAGGACAAUUGCGCUUGUGAAGAACCAAAAAUUAGACUCAACGUUGAUGGAAUAAAUAGAUCAGAUGAGGCAUUGGGUCCCUUAAUGAAGGGCUCUAAUUAGAUACUUGAAUCACUCUCAUGUGUGUCUUUUUAGAAUUUGUUAUGAAUUUUUAAAUUAAAGUUAGCCCAACAUUUUGACUUUUGAAAUUGCCAAAUUAAUAAUAACGAAGAAGGUAUUUCUAAUAAGUGAA